UACGAAGGGGGCUAGCGUUGCUCGGAAUUACUGGGCGUAAAGCGCACGUAGGCGGAUUGUUAAGUCGGGGGUGAAAUCCUGGAGCUCAACUCCAGAACUGCCUUCGAUACUGGCGAUCUCGAGUUCGGGGAGAGGUGAGUGGAACUGCGAGUGUAGAGGUGAAAUUCGUAGAUAUUCGCAAGAACACCAGUGGCGAAGGCGGCUCACUGGCCCGAUACUGACGCUGAGGUGCGAAAGCGUGGGGGAGCAAACAGG
rnacentral:rRNA from 1 species